UUGCUGUGAUGACUAACUUAGGACACCUUUGGAAUAACCGUGAAAAAGAAAACUGUUCUGAGCAAC
ensembl:snoRNA SNORD58 Small nucleolar RNA SNORD58